rnacentral:rRNA from 1 species
UACGUAGGGUGCAAGCGUUAAUCGGAAUUACUGGGCGUAAAGCGUGCGCAGGCGGUUAUGUAAGACAGAUGUGAAAUCCCCGGGCUCAACCUGGGAAUUGCAUCAGUGACUGCAUAGCUUGAGUGCGGCAGAGGGGGAUGGAAUUCCGCGUGUAGCAGUGAAAUGCGUAGAUAUGCGGAGGAACACCGAUGGCGAAGGCAAUCCCCUGGGCCUGCACUGACGCUCAUGCACGAAAGCGUGGGGAGCAAACAGG